GACGAACGCUGGCGGCGUGCCUAAUACAUGCAAGUCGAGCGGAGUUAGAGAAGCUUGCUUCUCUAACUUAGCGGCGGACGGGUGAGUAACACGUGGGCAAUCUGCCCGUAAGACUGGGAUAACUCCGGGAAACCGGGGCUAAUACCGGAUAAUCCUGACUCUCUCCUGAGAGUCAGUUGAAAGAUGGUUUCGGCUAUCACUUACGGAUGAGCCCGCGGCGCAUUAGCUAGUUGGUAGGGUAAUGGCCUACCAAGGCGACGAUGCGUAGCCGACCUGAGAGGGUGAUCGGCCACACUGGGACUGAGACACGGCCCAGACUCCUACGGGAGGCAGCAGUAGGGAAUCUUCCGCAAUGGACGAAAGUCUGACGGAGCAACGCCGCGUGAGUGAAGAAGGUUUUCGGAUCGUAAAACUCUGUUGUUAGGGAAGAAUACGUACGAGAGUAACUGCUCGUACCUUGACGGUACCUAACCAGAAAGCCACGGCUAACUACGUG
rnacentral:rRNA from 1 species